UACGUAGGGGGCAAGCGUUGUCCGGAUUUAUUGGGCGUAAAGAGCGUGUAGGCGGCCAGACAGGUCCGUUGUGAAAACUCGAGGCUCAACCUCGAGAUGUCGAUGGAAACCGUCUGGCUAGAGUCCGGAAGAGGAGUGUGGAAUUCCUGGUGUAGCGGUGAAAUGCGCAGAUAUCAGGAAGAACACCUAUGGCGAAGGCAGCACUCUGGGAGCGGUACUGACGCUG
rnacentral:rRNA from 1 species